GCUUAGCCCUAAACUAAAGCAGCAAAAACAACAAUACUGCUCGCCAGAGAACUACUAGCAACAGCUUAAAACUCAAAGGACUUGGCGGUGCUUUAUAUCCCUCUAGAGGAGCCUGUUCUGUAAUCGAUAAACCCCGAUAAACCUCACCAGUCCUUGCUAAUACAGCCUAUAUACCGCCAUCUUCAGCAAACCCUAAAAAGGAGUCAUAGUAAGCAAAACCAUGAAUCAUAAAAACGUUAGGUCAAGGUGUAGCCUAUGGGCUGGGAAGAAAUGGGCUACAUUUUCUAACAUAGAACACAAACGAAAAUUUUCGUGAAACCGAAAAUAGAAGGAGGAUUUAGUAGUAAAUUAAGAAUAGAGAGCUUAAUUGAAUCAGGCCAUGAAGCAC
rnacentral:rRNA from 1 species